rnacentral:lncRNA from 1 species
AUGUACUGCAGAAGGGGAACACGUCCCUCCUGUGACCUCGGCUUGUGCCCAUGUUUCCUGCACUGGAUGCACUGCUCAUGGGGAAUGGGUGAGGAAGUAAAAAAUUUGAUCUUGGCUUUUAGUAACAGCAAAGAGGAAUCCUUUCCACUGUGGCUCAGAACAAGCUGGUCAGACAGCACAAAGGAAGGUGAUUACCACACACAGUUGCUAAGUUUCUAGUUUUCCACCUACUGAAGAAGUGCAAGUAACAUCUGAUCAACUGUAGCUUAACAUCCAGGGACUCUGCUCACAAGGAGAUUCUUGAGGAUGAUAACAGAUGGGGGCUUCCAUCUGGACCAGAAUAGCACUGAAGGUUGGAAGACUCGUUGGUCUCAGCAUGGUACAUCCCACACUGCAAAGCAUUCACCAAGAUGCUCAGCAGAUUGAACUUUAUGUGCAAGGGGCCCCAUCCACUGAAAUAGCUUCUUGAUUAGUGCUUUUGAGCUCAGCUUAUCUGCCAGGAAUCCCCAGGAAGGAAGGAAGGAAAGAAGAAUAUCCUCUUGCUCCUCUGUACCUCCUCAUAUUACAACUCAACACUUUGCUUUGAUGCUUUGCUCUAAGUAAUCCUUAGUCCACAGCUAGAAGAUAUCAGGUAAGAUUUAUGUCUAGUCUCUUGCCUCCGUUCUCCUUUUCAGCUCUUCUGGAUGAGGAGCUUCUGGAUCUUUCUGAUUUCUGCCUGUUACAAUUGACAACUUGAAUUUCCAGAUGAAUUCCUGACCACUUCAGUAAGGGGCUGAAAGAGACAGUCUGUAAGGGAGUAUGAUGCUGGGAUUUCUGAGCCUGACAUCUGCACACACACAGCAGCAGAAAUAUUGUCGUGCAAAUAAAGGAACACAGCAGCAUCUGUCA